UAACGCGUGAGGAACCUGCCCUUCAGAGGGGGACGAACAGUUGGAAACGACUGCUAAUACCGCAUGAUACAUUUGAAUCGCAUGGUUUGAAUGUCAAAGAUUUAUCGCUGAAGGAUGGCCUCGCGUCUGAUUAGCUAGUUGGUGGGGUAACGGCCCACCAAGGCGACGAUCAGUAGCCGGACUGAGAGGUUGGCCGGCCACAUUGGGACUGAGAUACGGCCCAGACUCCUACGGAAGGCAGCAG
rnacentral:rRNA from 1 species